UCUAAGGGCUUCUGCUGUGAGUGGCACAUAGAAGGGGGUGGCUGCAGUUUUGCCUCUUUCUAUGCGGAAUCACUAUCAAGAGAUUUUGGAAAUUGAGACCCAGUUUGGUGUAGUGGUUAAGAGUGCCAUACUCUAAUCUG